GACGAACGCUGGCGGCGUGCUUAACACAUGCAAGUCGAACGGAAAGGCCCUGCUUUUGUGGGGUGCUCGAGUGGCGAACGGGUGAGUAACACGUGAGUAACCUGCCCUUGACUUUGGGAUAACUUCAGGAAACUGGGGCUAAUACCGGAUAGGAGCUCCUGCUGCAUGGUGGGGGUUGGAAAGUUUCGGCGGUUGGGGAUGGACUCGCGGCUUAUCAGCUUGUUGGUGGGGUAGUGGCUUACCAAGGCUUUGACGGGUAGCCGGCCUGAGAGGGUGACCGGCCACAUUGGGACUGAGAGACGGCCCAGACUCCUACGGGAGGCAGCAGUGGGGAAUAUUGCACAAUGGGCGGAAGCCUGAUGCGGCAGCGCCGCGUGCGGGAUGACGGCCUUCGGGUUGUAAACCGCUUUCGCCUGUGACGAAGCGUGAGUGACGGUAAUGGGUAAAGAAGCACCGGCUAACUACGUG
rnacentral:rRNA from 1 species